CUUGAAAGUUUAGUCAUUGUUGUCGUCUUGGGUGAUGUGUGCAGAACUACAGGAGCUCACUGCCAAAAGAGGAAAUAGAGGAGAGCGUAGGGGAGAGGGACGGAAGGAGCAAUUCUCUGGUAUCCAUCCACCCAUCCCUGCCUUUCUCUCUUCAACCCCCAUGUUUAUGGUUUGGUGAGUCCUUCAUACCACCCAUAAUGCUUUGCAUUGGCGCAGGCUGGGAAGGGGGGGUGUAUGGGCUCACAAGUUGUUGUUGUUG
rnacentral:lncRNA from 1 species